UACGAAGGGUGCAAACGUUGCUCGGAAUUAUUGGGCGUAAAGGGCGCGUAGGCGGCUAGAUGUGUCAAAGGUGAAAUCCCUCGGCUCAACUGAGGAACUGCCUUUGAAACUGUCUGGCUUGAGGCCGGGAGAGGGUAGCGGAAUUCCCAGUGUAGCGGUGAAAUGCGUAGAUAUUGGGAGGAACACCAGUGGCGAAGGCGGCUACCUGGACCGGUUCUGACGCUGAGGCGCGAAAGCGUGGGUAGCAAACAGG
rnacentral:rRNA from 1 species